GACGAACGCUGGCGGCGUGCUUAACACAUGCAAGUCGAACGUGAAGUUUGUGGACAUUCUUUCGGGAAUGGAAAUGAAAUGAAAGUGGCGAACGGGUGAGUAACACGCGAGCAACCUACCUUACACAGGGGGAUAGCCGUCGGAAACGACGAUUAAUACCGCAUGAGACCACAGAAUCGCAUGAUAUAGGGGUCAAAGAUUUAUCGGUGUAAGAAGGGCUCGCGUCUGAUUAGCUAGUUGGAAGGGUAAAGGCCUACCAAGGCGACGAUCAGUAGCCGGUGUGAGAGGCUGAACGGCCACAUUGGAACUGAGACACGGUCCAGACUCCUACGGGAGGCAGCAGUGGGGAAUAUUGCACAAUGGGGGGAAUCCUGAUGCAGCGACGCCGCGUGAGCGAAGAAGGUUUUCGAAUCGUAAAGCUCUGUCCUAUGAGAAGAUAAUGACGGUAUCAUAGGAGGAAGCCCCGGCUAACUACGUG
rnacentral:rRNA from 1 species